rnacentral:rRNA from 1 species
GACGAACGCUGGCGGCGUGCUUAACACACGCAAGUCGAGCGGUAAGGCCCUUCGGGGUACGACGAGCGGCGAACGGGUGAGUAACACGUGGGUGACCUGCCUCUAGCUCUGGGAUAAGCCUGGGAAACUGGGUCUAAUACCGGAUAUGACUCCACGGCGCAUGUUGUGGGGUGGAAAGCCUUGUGUGGCUAGAGAUGGGCCCGCGGCCUAUCAGCUUGUUGGUGGGGUGAUGGCCGUACCAAGGCGA